rnacentral:rRNA from 1 species
UAGAGUUUUAUCCUGGCUCAGGAUGAACGCUAGCGGGAGGCCUAACACAUGCAAGCCGAGCGGUAGAGAUUCUUCGGAAUCUUGAGAGCGGCGUACGGGUGCGGAACACGUGUGCAACCUACCUUUAUCAGGGGGAUAGCCUUUCGAAAGGAAGAUUAAUACCCCAUAAUAUAUUUGAUGGCAUCAUUAGAUAUUGAAAACUCCGGUGGAUAGAGAUGGGCACGCGCAAGAUUAGAUAGUUGGUGAGGUAACGGCUCACCAAGUCCAUGAUCUUUAGGGGGCCUGAGAGGGUGAUCCCCCACACUGGUACUGAGACACGGACCAGACUCCUACGGGAGGCAGCAGUGAGGAAUAUUGGACAAUGGGUGAGAGCCUGAUCCAGCCAUCCCGCGUGAAGGACGACGGCCCUAUGGGUUGUAAACUUCUUUUGUAUAGGGAUAAACCUUUCCACGUGUGGAAAGCUGAAGGUACUAUACGAAUAAGCACCGGCUAACUCCGUGCCAGCAGCCGCGGUAAUACGGAGGGUGCAAGCGUUAUCCGGAUUUAUUGGGUUUAAAGGGUCCGUAGGCGGACUCGUAAGUCAGUGGUGAAAUCUCAUAGCUUAACUAUGAAACUGCCAUUGAUACUGCGGGUCUUGAGUAAGGUAGAGGUAGCUGGAAUAAGUAGUGUAGCGGUGAAAUGCAUAGAUAUUACUUAGAACACCAAUUGCGAAGGCAGGUUACCAUGUCUUAACGACGCGAUGAGAAAGCUGAGAACUC